GACGAACGCUGGCGGCGUGCUUAACACAUGCAAGUCGAACGGAAAGGCCCUGCUUUUGUGGGGUGCUCGAGUGGCGAACGGGUGAGUAACACGUGAGUAACCUGCCCUUGACUUUGGGAUAACUUCAGGAAACUGGGGCUAAUACCGGAUAGGAGCUCCUGAUGCAUGGUGGGGGGUGGAAAGUUUCGGCGGUUGGGGAUGGACUCGCGGCUUAUCAGCUUGUUGGUGGGGUAGUGGCUUACCAAGGCUUUGACGGGUAGCCGGCCUGAGAGGGGGACCGGCCCCAACGGGACUUGGGUACGGCCCAGACCUCUACGGGGGGCAACAGGUGGGAAUAUUGCACAAUGGGCGGAAGCCUGAUGCAGCAACCCCGCGUUCGGGAUGACGGCCUUCGGGUUGGAAACCGCUUUCGCCUGGGACGAAGCGGGAGUGACGGUAAUGUGUAAAGAAGCACCGGCUAACUACGUG
rnacentral:rRNA from 1 species